GGUGAGAGAGGGCCAGCGGGCGGUGUGAUGCGGAGGGUGCAGGGGGUGGUCGGAAUCACUGGGGGUAAAGGGCGCGGAGGGGGCUGGAGAAGUCACUUGGGAAAUGCCGUUGCUAAACGACGGGGCGGCAGGUGAGACUGGCUGGCUGGAGCUUGGUAGGGGCGAGUGGAAUUCCCGGUGUAGCGGUGGAAUGCGUAGAGAUCGGGAAGAACACCGGUGGCGAAGGCGGCUCGCUGGGCCAAUGCUGACGCUGAUGCGCGAAAGCGUGGGGAGCAAACAGGUUUAGAUACCCGAGUAGUC
rnacentral:rRNA from 1 species